GUGAAUCAUCAAAUUUUUGAACGCAAAUUGCACUCUCUUCGGAGAGUAUGCCUGUUUGAGGGUCAGCCUAAAAAAAAUCGACAUAGUUGCUGUUACGCGGUAACAUUCGUCGGAACUUCGGUCAUCUUAAACCUUUGGGUUUAAGCGGCUUAAAAUUUUCUUUACCAUUCCAUGAACGUUUCAAAGUUUUAAUCUUCUUAUAGC
rnacentral:misc_RNA from 1 species